rnacentral:rRNA from 1 species
CAGCAGCCGCGGGAAUACGGAGGGUGCAAGCGUUAAUCGGAAUUACUGGGCGUAAAGCGCACGCAGGCGGUUUGUUAAGUCAGAUGUGAAAUCCCCGAGCUUAACUUGGGAACUGCAUUUGAAACUGGCAAGCUAGAGUCUUGUAGGGGGGGGUAGAAUUCCAGGUGUAGCGGUGAAAUGCGUAGAGAUCUGGAGGAAUACCGGUGGCGAAGGCGGCCCCCUGGACAAAGACUGACGCUCAGGUGCGAAAGCGUGGGGAGCAAACAGGAUUAGAUACCCCUGUAGUCCCUGUCUCUUAUAC